rnacentral:lncRNA from 1 species
CUUGACUUAGUUUAAUUUAUGGUCAACUUAUCACAAUCAUCACACAUUAUAAUAUUGCAAUUUGAAUACAGCAUAUUCAAAUGAUUGUGCCAGCGUAUACGUAUGAUAAUAUCAUCAUCCAUGGCGAUUCAAGAAGAACAGAAGACCAGUUUAGUCAUCGUCACCUAUGAUUUACCACUACAAAUAUCUACGGUAUUAAGUCAAUUAAUUAAUUUGUAUGUAUUACUACCUUUAUUUUGUUGAGUUUGGGAAUUAAUUGAUGCAUGAUUAGAUCUGAUUUUGAAGAGCUGUUGGGUACUGUGUUUUCAUGCAUGCUUAUAUAUUUUAUUUUCUUUUCUCUGCUUUAUUCUGUAAUGGUAAUUUAUAUCUACAAAAAGAUUUGUGGUUUGCACUAACAGUACAUUAAACAUGAAAUUCGGUGAUUACAAGCGAGUGGUGAACAUUAAAGCAUGUUGGUUAAAAAGUAACUUUUAAUUUAGUUAAACAUGACGAUAAGCAAAUUGCUAAACACUGAACUCUAUCACAAAUUAAAUUGUCAAGUUACUUUAUUGGAUCGAUUUGCGAGAAAAAAACUAUGCUGGGUUGACUUAAACCCAUCUAUUUUUAAAAGGGAAAUUAACGUAAACCCGUCUAUCUUUAAAAGGGAUCGAUUUGCGAGAAAAAGACUAUGCUGGCCCCUAUUAAAUUCCAUUUCAUUUUUCUCUCUCUCUCUUAUUUUCAAUCACCCAAUUUUCUAUCAAAUAAUAUUACGCGUAAAUUGAAAACUUUUCCUUCUUUUUCAAUUACUCAUUUUUCAAAAAACACUAUUCCACCCAUUUUCAUUUCAAAAAAUGGGGGCCAAACGGGGGCUAAAUCUUUAAAUCUUCGUGCAAAUUAUGUCACAAACCUUUGCAUUCUUGAGCAAUUGAUCCUUUUGAAAAAGAUCGUUAAUUCUGUAUGUGGAAUGCAAUUGCUCUUAUUUUGUUUUUAUUUAAAUGGAUAAAACUUCAAAAACCCGUAUUUUAGUGAAUUCGAACAUAUUGAUGCUUGCUAAAUGCUAAACUAGGUAGUGAUCAGAGAAGAAAUUUAACUGCACAUUGAGGAUGAUUGAUAUCUGUAUUCAGAGAACACCAUGGUUAUUUUAUUUUGGGCUAUGUCUCUUUGCCAGAAAGUGAUUGACAGAUAGAGAAACGUUUGUUACAAAUGUGAAUGGAUGAAAGUUGUUUGUAUCUGAAACAGUCCAAUAAUAAAGUGUCAUGUGACAUCAUUAUUGUUUUAUUUUGUUGGUGUUAUUUAUUCUUGUGUUAGCUAAUUGAAAUAUGUAUACUUGCUAUGACGCGCAUUGGACGAGAGAGAUUUGAGUUUAAUUUGGGAAAUGGUCAUUUUCAUUGGACGACAGCGGUGGUUGUAGUGGGGUUGUGAAGGACGAGGCAAUAGGUGACAAAAGAAGAUG